rnacentral:lncRNA from 1 species
CACAAAGACACAGCGGUUGUAACCAUUUGGACUCAUCAGACCAAAGGACUGAUUUCCACCAGUCUAAUGUCCAUUGCUCAUGUUUCUUGGCCCAAAGCAGGGGCUGAGUCAAUGCAACUUGAACGUUAAGUGCAACAGAGCAGAGUUGUCGUGCCAACCGCUGCCUGUGCACCGUGACCUCAACAUCUGGUAUGUUCUGAGCGUGCUCCAACUCCGGCUCCUAGGAUCAGCUAACUCACCAUGGGAAACUACAUGUGUGGAACACUGAGGAAGAAGAAAAAUGAAGAUGAAGAUAACGGUGAUAAUCAUAGCAGCCCAGACAACAAGGAAGAGGAUGUGACAUAUGCCACCAUCGACCAUAACAACACCAAGACAACAGGAUUCAUUGUAGAUUCCGGAGAUAAUGAUUGUGACUACGCCAUCGUUAACCUUCCAACUGGCCCAGCCCACCAGCCGUCAAUCAAGGAAGACUGUGCAGAUGACUAUGUCCUUAUGGGCUAACCUCAUGGACAAUGUGUGUGUGUGUGAGAUGACAGAGGUAAUGUGAGUAGGGGGAUAACGGAGAUGCAAGGUGGACAAGGGCUGGGGAAAGCUAGACAGCACCUUACGGAACCAAAGGAACAGAUAUGAUGCCUCUGACAGUGCCUACAAACUGAACUUGAUGCAGUGUGGGGUGCACCAAUUAGUGGGGCUUACCAAAGUAUUCACCCCCUUGGCAUUUUUCCUAUUUUGUUGACUUACAACCUGGAAUUAAAAUAUAUUUUGGGAGGUUUGUAUCAUUUGAUUUACACAACAUGCCUACCACUUUGAAGAUGCAAAAUAUUUUUUAUUGUGAAACAAACAAGAAAUAAGACAAAAAAACUGAAAAAAUGAGUGUGCAUAACUAUUCACCCCAAAAGUCAAUACUUUGUAGAGCCACCGUUUGCAGCAAUUACGGCUGCAAGUCUCUUGGGGUAUGUCUCGGCAAAUCUAGCCACUGGGAUUUUUGCCCAUUCUUCAAGGCAAAACUGUUCCAGUUCCUUCAAGUUGGAUGGAUUCCGCUGGUAUACAGCAAUCUUU